UUCCAGCAGAGUAAGGUUCUUUCAUGGUGGA
rnacentral:piRNA from 1 species